rnacentral:rRNA from 1 species
UACGUAGGGUGCGAGCGUUAAUCGGAAUUACUGGGCGUAAAGCGUGCGCAGGCGGUUUUGUAAGCCAGAUGUGAAAUCCCCGGGCUUGACCUGGGAAUGGCAUUUGGGACUGCAAGGCUCGAGUGCGGCAGAGGAGACUGGAAUUCCUGGUGUAGCAGUGAAAUGCGUAGAUAUCGUAAGGAAGACCAGUGGCGAAGGCGAGUCUCUGGACAGCAACUGACGCUGAGGCACGAAGGCCAGGGGAGCAAACGGG